CAGAAACUGGCCUCGAGAUCUGCAAGGCUGUUACCCAUUUCCUGGAUAUGACACUGGCAUUCGGCUGCUCUCCAGGGUGCUGUACCAAAACCAGGAUCACAAGGAUCAAAACCUUUCUUAAGAAAGCUGGAGGAGUAGCAAAAAGGCCCCUUGUGGGCAGAACAGACCUACAGCUUUAUAACAAUGCUGUCUUCACCAAUUUAAGAAUCUGUCAAUAUUGUUUUCAACUGAAGAGGCAACAUGACCAAAGAUCUACAGAUUCAAUACUGCAAGGAAAUGAGAUUCAAGCAAGGACUCUACAUUUCAUUCUUCCUGCUCUCCUUCAGUGAAGAAACAGACUAUUUCCUGAGCAGCUGAUCACUGCCUGCUGUGCAGAGGGAAGAAGAGUAAUUAAAGUCUCUGUUCCACAAAGGAAGUCAUUUUUCUUCAAGAAUACAAGCAAACACCAAAAGAAAGCUGUUUUUGUGUUGUGUGACGUACAGGUUGAUUUCAAGGCAAUCAUUUCCAAGUACAUAAUGCCUGCUCCAUUUGCUCACAUUC